GAAUCGUCCGCAAUACGACGAAAGUCUGAGGGAGCAUGCCGCGUGAGUGAAGAAGGUUUUCCGAUCGUAAAACUCUGUUGUUAGAGAAGAACAAGGAUGAGAGUAACUGCUCCUCCCCUGGCGGUGUCUAACCCGGAAGGCCCGGGUCACUACGU
rnacentral:rRNA from 1 species